rnacentral:rRNA from 1 species
UAAUACGGAGGGCGCAAACGUUGCUCGGAAUCACUGGGCAUAAAGGGCAUGUAGGCGGCCCGAUCAGUCAGAUGUGAAAUCCCCCGGCUCAACCGGGGAACUGCAUUUGAUACUAUCGAGCUCGAGGAUGGUUGGGGUAAGCGGAACUCCUGGUGGAGCGGUGAAAUGCGUAGAUAUCAGGAGGAACACCAGUGGCGAAAGCGGCUUACUGGACCAUUACUGACGCUGAGAUGCGAAAGCUAGGGUAGCGAACGGGAUUAGAUACCCCGGUAGUCCUAGCCGUAAACGAUGGGCACUAGGUUGGGGGAACACCUAUGGUUUUCCCAGCUGUAGCAAAUGUGUUAAGUGCCCCGCCUGGGGAGUACGCACGCAAGUGUA